UACGUAGGGUGCAAGCGUUAAUCGGAAUUACUGGGCGUAAAGGGCGCGUAGGCGGCCAUCUAAGUCAGACGUGAAAUCCCCCGGCUUAACCUGGGAACUGCGUCUGAUACUGGACGGCUUGAGUAUGGGAGAGGGAUGUAGAAUUCCAGGUAUAGCGGUGAAAUGCGUAGAUAUCUGGAGGAAUACCGGUGGCGAAGGCGGCAUCCUGGACCAUUACUGACGCUGAGACGCGAAAGCGUGGGGAGCAAACAGG
rnacentral:rRNA from 1 species